CUCCCCUUGGCACUUGCAAUAUAAAUAUUGCAAAAGUUAUGCAAUAUCCAUUGCAUAACCUACAUAUGAAACUUUUGCUGCUGAACCAAGAAACAGACAAGGUCGUCUCUUUCCUGAUGAGGAAGAUUAAUCCUGGUUGUCAAGAGGAAAGAGAGUUGCUGCUAAACAGACUGGGGUGGAGGUAGGCACAGAGGAGUAUACCUGAAAGCUAGGGGUUUCACUGAGAUAUUUCUUGAUAUUCUCAUUUUAAAUAAUAAUGGUUAAUAAGAAACUCUGAUGAAGUAAUAAAGAGAGUAGACUUUAAGGAUUUGGAGACUGGGAAUGAAGGUUUGACUCAUCACCAGGAAACAAUAAGGUCACUCCCAAGCUCUCAGAAAGAACAGGGAAAGGUAGACAAGGAAAAGACCAUGUUGCUAAUGAAAAGCCUGGAGCAGAAGAAGCACCCGAAAGAAGUCCUAUGGGGCUGCUGUAUCCCCUGCAGGAGGCUGCUCUGCUUUAAGAAAUGACUGUGCGGGUGCUGCUGGAGCCAGAGCAGCAAGGCUCUGGCUGAUGUCCACUGGUCAUCAACGCCCACAGGUUCCCAGACACUGGAUUUCACCUGCUCGGAGACCUGCCUCUUAGCAACUCUUCCCCUCAACUACCAGGAUCUCCUGUUGGCAACUAAAUACACUCAAAUCUCUUCAUUCUUAAACAAAUCAAAACAAAAAAUGUCCACCACAGCCAUGAUGAGGAAUAAAAUAUCUAUACAAAUC